GCCUCAUACAUGCAAGUCGAGCGAGAAAGCCUACUUCGGUGGGUGAUUAAAGCGGCGAACGGGUGCGUAACACGUGGGCAAGCUGCCUUUAGGUCUGGGAUAAGCCGCCGAAAGGGGGUCUAAUACCGGAUAACACCUUUCUAUCGCAUGGUACAAAGUUCAGAGACCGCUUGCGGUCGCCUGAAGAUGGGCCCGCGGCCUAUUAGCUAGUUGGUGAGAUAACAGCCCACCAAGGCUGCGAUGGGUAGCCGUCCUGAGAGGGUGAACGGCCACACUGGGACUGAGAUACGGCCCAGACUCCUACGGGAGGCAGCAGUAGGGAAUAUUGCGCAAUGCCCGAAAGGGUGACGCAGCGACGCCGCGUGGGUGAUGAAGCUUCUUGGAUCGUAAAGCCCUUUCAGAAGGGAAGAACCGCAUGGAGGUGAACCUCCGUGCCUGACGGUACCUUCAGAAGAAGCUCCGGCUAACUCCGUGCCAGCAGCCGCGGUAAUACGGAGGGAGCAAGCGUUGUUCGGAAUCACUGGGCGUAAAGGGCGCGUACGCGGGCCGGUGAGUCAGGUGUGAAAACCCGGGGCUUAACCCCGGGCCUGCACUUGAUACUAUCGGUCUUGAGUACGAGAGAGGAAAGCGGAAUUCCAGGUGUAGCGGUGAAAUGCGUAGAUAUCUGGGAGAACACCGGUGGCGAAGGCGGCUUUCUGGCUCGAUACUGACGCUGAUGCGCGAAGGCUAGGGGAGCAAACAGGAUUAGAUACCCUGGUAGUCCUAGCGGUAAACGAUGGGCACUAGGUGAUGGAGGACUUACCCCUUCAGUGCCGCAGCUAACGCAUUAAGUGCCCCGCCUGGGGAGUACGAUCGCAAGAUUGAAACUCAAAGGAAUUGACGGGGCCCCGCACAAGCAGUGGAGUAUGUGGUAUAAUUCGAUGCAACGCGAAGAACAUUACGUGGGCCUGACAUCAACUGGAAAGCCAUAGAGAUAUGGCCCCCUCUUCGGAGGUCGGUUGACAGGUGCUGCAUGGCUGUCGUCAGCUCGUGCCGUGAGGUGUUGGGUUAAGUCCCGCAACGAGCGCAACCCCUGUCCAUAGUUACCAGCGGUUCGGCCGGUCACUCUAUGGAGACUGCCUCGGUUAACGAGGAGGAAGGUGGGGAUGACGUCAAGUCCUCAUGGCCCUUACGUCCAGGGAUACACACGUACUACAAUGGCCGGUACAGAGGCUUGCAA
rnacentral:rRNA from 1 species